AGCGAACGCUGGCGGCAGGCCUAACACAUGCAAGUCGAACGAAGUCUUCGGACUUAGUGGCGGACGGGUGAGUAACACGUGGGAACGUGCCUUUAGGUUCGGAAUAACUCAGGGAAACUUGUGCUAAUACCGAAUGUGCCCUUCGGGGGAAAGAUUUAUCGCCUUUAGAGCGGCCCGCGUCUGAUUAGCUAGUCGGUGAGGUAAAGGCUCACCAAGGCUACGAUCAGUAGCUGGUCUGAGAGGAUGACCAGCCACAUUGGGACUGAGACACGGCCCAAACUCCUACGGGAGGCAGCAGUGGGGAAUCUUGCGCAAUGGGCGAAAGCCUGACGCAGCCAUGCCGCGUGGAUGAUGAAGGUCUUAGGAUUGUAAAAUCCUUUCACCGGUGAAGAUAAUGACUGUAGCCGGAGAAGAAGCCCCGGCUAACUUCGUGCCAGCCGCCGCAGUAAUAC
rnacentral:rRNA from 1 species